rnacentral:rRNA from 1 species
AUGGAAUCUGAUUUGGAGUACAUAUACAAGAACUAUGUUGAGUCGUCUGACGGCUCGUCCGACGAGGAGAACUACACAAAUGAGACGGCGAUGAUGCAGGCGGUCUUGAAGACGUGGGGCGUGCAGAGGAGCAUGUUAGAGAAGCUUCGUCUUUCAUCUAUCAUUGAUGAUUUAGAAGCUUUGGCGGAGAUAGCUAGGCUGUUGCGUGGAGAGGAACUCAUAUGGUACCAACUUUCUAACCCCCAAUUUAUCCUGAAAGGCGAUUCGAAUAAUAGAUAUUUCCAUGACGCGGAGGAGCUUGUGCAGGGAGUACAACAAAAUAAGUUGCUUGGGUUUAAGGACAACAAACUGAAUAUUCAGUUGCAAGAUCAGACACUAAAAUCUUAUUCUAACCAGCUGCAAGUUUUAGCAACAGCAUCAGGUUGUAAGUUUAUCAACUCAUCAUUUGAUAACCCUAGUCCUCGUUGA